GAUGAACGCUGGCGGCGUGCCUAAUACAUGCAAGUCGAGCGAACAGAUGAAGUGCUUGCACUUCUGACGUUAGCGGCGAACGGGUGAGUAACACGUAAGGAAUCUACCUAUAAGCGGGGGAUAACAUUCGGAAACGGGUGCUAAUACCGCAUAAUAUCUUCUUCCGCAUGGAAGAAGAUUGAAAGACGGCUCUGCUGUCACUUAUAGAUGACCUUGCGGUGCAUUAGUUGGUUGGUGGGGUAAUGGCCUACCAAGACAAUGAUGCAUAGCCGACCGGAGAGGGUGGUCGGCCACAUGGGGACUGAGACACGGCCCAAACUCCUACGGGAGGCAGCAGUAGGGAAUCUUCCGCAAUGGGCGAAAGCCUGACGGAGCAAUGCCGCGUGAGUGAAGAAGGCCUUCGGGUCGUAAAACUCUGUUAUAAGAGAAGAACAAAUUGUAGAGUGACUGCUACAGUCUUGACGGUAUCUUAUCAGAAAGCCACGGCUAACUACGUGCCAGCCGCCGCCGUAA
rnacentral:rRNA from 1 species